rnacentral:rRNA from 1 species
CGUAUACGUCAGAGCUCACCUGACUGUGUAAGUAUAAAUAUUUCACCUUUAAACUGGCAAUGGGUCCAUUAUACCAUUUUUAUUUAAUUAAAAAAAUGUUCUACUUGGAAAACCCGAAUAAUUUCAGAGGCAAAACCUGAACUAAUCCCCCAAUUUUAAAAGGGGUUUUUUUUAAAAUGAAAACCCAUAAACUUUGUCUGUUUGUGAGUAAAAAAAAAUUGUUCUAUCCCAUGCUUAAGUAACGAUGUGUCUUUUAAGUUUUUGCCCCAUCAUCUUUUUAUGGUGGUGUAUUGGACUACCAUGGGGGUAACGGGGAACAAAAAAUUUGGGGUCUAUUUCUGAAAAGGAGCCUGAAAAAAGGCUACCACAUCCCAGGAAGGGAGCAGGCGCCUAAAUUACCCCAUCCUGACACAGGGAGGUAGUGACAAUAAAUCACCAUGCGGAACUUCUGUUUUGUUUUUGGAUUGAGAACAACGCACUACACUUAUCUAUAAACAAUUGGAGGGCAAGUCUGGUGCCGCCACCCCCGGCAAUUCCACCUCCACUAGCGUAUAUUAACGUUGUUGUGGUUAAAAAACUCACAAAA